UCCGUGGUGGCUCAGACAGUAAAGAAUCUGCCUGCAAUGCAGGAGACCUAGGUUCGAUCCCUGGAUCUGGAA
rnacentral:tRNA from 1 species